AACGGUGGGUACUAGGUAGUGGGGUCCAUUCCANUGGGUUCCGUGCCGUAGCUAACGCUUUAAGUACCCCGCCUGGGGAGUACGGCCGCNAGGCUAAAACUCAAAGGAAUUGACGGGGCCCCGCACAAGCGGCGGAGCAUGCGGAUUAAUUCGAUGCAACGCGUAGAACCUUACCUGGGUUUGACAUGGAUCGGGAGUGCUCAGAGAUGGGUGUGCCUCUUUUGGGGUCGGUUCACAGGUGGUGCAUGGCUGUCGUCAGCUCGUGUCGUGAGAUGUUGGGUUAAGUCCCGCAACGAGCGCAACCCUUGUUCACUGUUGCCAGCACGUUAUGGUGGGGACUCAGUGGAGACCGCCGGGGUCAGCUCGGAGGAAGGUGGGGAUGACGUCAUGUCAUCAUGCCCCUUAUGUCCAGGGCUUCACGCAUGCUACAAUGGCUGGUACAGAGAGUGGCGAGCCUGUAAGGGUGAGCGAAUCUCGGAAAGCCGGUCUCAGUUCGGAUUGGGGUCUGCAACUCGACCUCAUGAAGUCNGAGUCGCUAGUAAUCGCAGAUCAGCNACGCUGCGGUGAAUACGUUCCCGGGGCUNGUACACACCGGCCCGUUCAAGUCAUGAAAAGGUNNGNUAACANCCGNNAGCCCGGUGGGCCCCUAAC
rnacentral:rRNA from 1 species